rnacentral:rRNA from 1 species
GACGUAGGGCGCGAGCGUUGUCCGGAUUUAUUGGGCGUAAGAGCUCGUAGGCGGCUUGUCGCGUCGACUGUGAAAUCCCGCGGCUCAACUGCGGGUCUGCAGUCGAUACGGGCAGGCGUAGAGUUCGGUAGGGGAGACUGGAAUUCCUGGUGUAGCGGUGAAAUGCGCAGAUAUCAGGAGGAACACCGGUGGCGAAGGCGGGUCUCU